GUCCACGCCGUAAACAAUGAGCACUAGUUAUUGCGGGUAUAUUGACUCCUGCAGUGACGCAGCUAACGCAUUAAGUGCUCCGCCUGGGGAGUACGGUCGCAAGACUAAAACUCAAAGGAAUUGACGGGGGCCCGCACAAGCGGUGGAUUAUGUGGUUUAAUUCGAAGCAACGCGCAAAACCUUACCUGGGCUUGAACUCCUGAGAAUCUUGGGUAAUGCCGAGAGUGCCCUUCGGGGAAUUCA
rnacentral:rRNA from 1 species